AUUGAACGCUGGCGGCAUGCUUUACACAUGCAAGUCGGACGAGUGGCGAACGGGUGAGUAACGCAUCGGAACGUACCGAGUAAUGGGGGAUAACUGUUCGAAAGGACAGCUAAUACCGCAUAUUAUUCGAGCGGCCGAUGUUGGAUUAGGUAGUUGGUGGGGUAAUGGCCUACCAAGCCGACGAUCCCUAGCUGGUCUGAGAGGAUGACCAGCCACACCGGGACUGAGACACGGCCCGGACUCCUACGGGAGGCAGCAGUGGGGAAUAUUGCACAAUGGGCGCAAGCCUGACGCAGCCAUGCCGCGUGAAUGAAGAAGGCCUUCGGGUUGUAAAGUUCUUUCGGUGACGAGGCGUUACUCACAGAAGAAGCACCGGCUAACUCCGUGCCAGCAGCCGCGGUAAUUC
rnacentral:rRNA from 1 species